AGUGAACGCUGGCGGUAGGCCUAACACAUGCAAGUCGAACGGCAGCACAGUAAGAGCUUGCUCUUACGGGUGGCGAGUGGCGGACGGGUGAGGAAUACAUCGGAAUCUACUUUUUCGUGGGGGAUAACGUAGGGAAACUUACGCUAAUACCGCAUACGACCUACGGGUGAAAGCAGGGGAUCUUCGGACCUUGCGCGAUUGAAUGAGCCGAUGUCGGAUUAGCUAGUUGGCGGGGUAAAGGCCCACCAAGGCGACGAUCCGUAGCUGGUCUGAGAGGAUGAUCAGCCACACUGGAACUGAGACACGGCCCAGACGCCUACGGGAGGCAGCAGUGGGGAAUAUUGGGCAAGGGGCGCAAGCCUGAUCCAGCCAUACCGCGUGGGUGAAGAAGGCCUUCGGGUUGUAAAGCCCUUUUGUUGGGAAAGAAAAGCAGCAGGUUAAUACCCCGCUGUUCUGACGGUACCCAAAGAAGAAGCACCGGCUAACUUCGUG
rnacentral:rRNA from 1 species